rnacentral:rRNA from 1 species
AUUGAACGCUGGCGGCAUGCUUUACACAUGCAAGUCGAACGGCAGCGCGGGCUUCGGCCUGGCGGCGAGUGGCGAACGGGUGAGUAAUGCAUCGGAACGUGCCCAGUAGUGGGGGAUAGCCCGGCGAAAGCCGGAUUAAUACCGCAUACGACCUGAGGGUGAAAGCGGGGGACCGAAAGGCCUCGCGCUAUUGGAGCGGCCGAUGUCGGAUUAGCUAGUUGGUGGGGUAAAGGCUUACCAAGGCGACGAUCCGUAGCUCGUCUGAGAGGACGACCAGCCACACUGGGACUGAGACACGGCCCAGACUCCUACGGGAGGCAGCAGUGGGGAAUUUUGGACAAUGGGGGCAACCCUGAUCCAGCCAUGCCGCGUGCGGGAAGAAGGCCUUCGGGUUGUAAACCGCUUUUGUUCGGGAAGAAAUCCUCUGGGCUAAUACCCCGGGGGGAUGACGGUACCGGAAGAAUAAGCACCGGCUAACUACGUG